CGGUGGCCCGUACACCCAAUCAGAGCACGACUUUCGAGGGGAAAGUAAUAGUGUUAGCCCUAGCAACAAGUUUUUAGCUGUGAGGGAUUUAUGUCAUGUAUGUCAACAUUACAGAAUGCUGAAAGACUGAUAGCAUUUGAAAUUUUUUUCUAGUCAGGAAAAAAAUGUAGCUCUGUUUUAAAAUUCCUAUCACUACUUUGCUAACAAUAGCAAAGGAGCGAAAUGAGCUAACCUUCGGAGCAGCUUUUCAAAGACUGAAAGGAGCAUUGUCAUCUUGGAUGAAACCACUCCCAUCAAGAUAGAAAUCAUUCAUCCCAGGAUAAAGACGAUCCCUGAAAACAACUUUCUAUUGAUUUGCAGUGCCUCUUUUCUCAACAAGGGAGGAUGAUUUUCAGAGCACAUCCUGUAAAAGCAGAAGAAUAAAAGCAGCGUAUUAUGGAAAAGGAAAGCUGAUUUCGAAUUCCUUUGGAUCCACCACCCCCCUCCAGGAUCCCAGAUUCUCUCCAUCAUCUCCUCCAACCGUGAGGUCUAACCGGCAGGGCAGGGGCGUGUGGGCGGACAUGCUGGGUGCUGGCAGCAUGCUCCGUCUGCUAAAAGAGAUGG